ensembl:misc_RNA Metazoa_SRP Metazoan signal recognition particle RNA
UCCGGCCAAAGUGGUGUGUGCCUGUAGUCCUAGCUACUCAGGAGGCUGAGGCAGGAGAAUAGCUUGAGCUGGCGAGUUUGGGACUUUAGUGCACUAUGCUGAUUGGGUGUUUGCACUAAGUUUGGCAUCAAUCAGGUGACCUCCUAGGAGCAGGGGACCACCAAGUUGCCUACAGUGGGGGGAACCAGCCUGGUUGGAAACAGAGCAGGUCAAAACUCCUGUACUGAUCAGUAGUGGGGUUGUGCUUAUGAAUAGCCACUGCACUCCAGCCUAGGCAACAUAGCAAGACCCCAUCUCUG